rnacentral:lncRNA from 10 species
CCCCAGGACGCUCACACUAUGAAAGGAAGGAAUGGGACUAAAGGUCAAUAUGAGACCAAGGAAGUGGUUUUGGUUCAGUGUUUUGUUUUGUUUGUAAAGGGAGCGACUCAAGCAGUGGAUGUGCUGAGAAUAGUGAGCCAGAGGAGGGAACCCAGGUGGGGAAGGUGUUCCAAAGGGGUUGAGUAUGGAAUAAGAAAGGUCUUUGGGCACAUGGUGGAGGCGGGACCCUGUCAAUGGUGCAGGGAGAGAGAAGAUCACUUCUAUCUCUGAGACCACAAGAGGCAAUGGAGACAGCUGCAGAGGCAGUUCCAGUAAUUCGAUCAGUGGAUGGCUACAAAAAAGAGAAAGUCUUCAAAGAGGAGAUGGCAUUUGCACUUGAAAAGCUCCACCGUGUUGAGAUGGAUGGAAUGCGUCCCAUCAAAUGUACAGAACUUAGAGAUGACAUCAAGAUCUGGUUAUGGUAACUACAGAAGGCUCUUGUUAGGAGGCAGAAUCCAAACAGUUUGGCUAAGAAAGAGAGCCACUGGGCUGAGCUAAGAGUUUGGAUGUGAUUCUGCAGGUGGUGAAUGUGGAAGAGAUGGCUCCACCUAAAUCCAUACUAUACUUCCCCAGUGUGAGUUCCCACUGAGAAGGGGCAUCUGUAUCCAGCCAGGACUACAUUUCCCAGAACUCCUUCUUUUCCGGGCAGGGCCAUGUGACCAGUUCUGGACAAAGGAAUGUGAGCCGAAGUGAUGUGAUUCAUGUCCACGCUAAGGCCAUUAAGAGGCAGUUGUGCUCUCUCUUCUUGGGCAAUUGAGAGGCAGUUGUGCCCUCUCCUGCCUGGAUGCAGAGGACCCAGUAGAUGGAAGAGCCUCAAAAGGAAAAGGGCCCAUGUCCCUAAACUUCAAGAGGGGAAACAUCUCCUAAAAACCAGGAACACCAGAUGAGUGAAAAGUGCACAUGUGUUAGGAAAUAAUAAACAAACCAUCAGAUACUGCUUUGGAUUCCCACUGACGGUGAGAAAGAGAAGCAAGCUCAAGCAAAUCAUCAGUGCUAAUGAUAAGGGUGGUGCCAACCAAAGGAGAAAGAAGCCUCCACACUUGGCUGAUAAUUGCUGAGGACUAAACUCUGAUUUUUUUUUUUUAUCUUGCCCAAAUUCCUAUCUAAGGGGUCUGGGGAGUCAUGCCCUACAAACCAUAAAUUCUCAUCAGAUGGGUUUUAUUUGACCCUGUAUAUUGUGACUUACUUUCCAAUCUGACUGUGGCAUAACAAGGAAGAAAAUCAAAAUGUUUUACCCCAAAAUAUAUUUCCUUGCCAUACCUUAAAAUUGCCCUGCAAAGUCUCUUGUGGGAAAAAUCCACAUCCUAUAGAGAAUCUCGUUUCCCCUUUGUUUCCUUCUCUCCUUUCCAGAUCCAGGAGAUAAUCAACUAGCCUGAUAAGAAACAUUUUACAACCUGCUCUCUCUCUAAAGUCUGCUGAGACAUUCCUCUGCACAAUAAAACUUGGUCUCCACAAUCCUUUAUCUUAACCUGAGCAUUUCCUUUACCCCAGGUCUUCAGAUAAACUCAACCAAUUGUCAACCGGAAAAUGUUUACAUUUACCGAUCGCCUGAACCCCCUCGGCCCCACCCCCCACCACCUCCCCCUCCCCCGCCCUGCCCCACUUUGAGUUGUCCCACCUUUCUGAACCAAACCAAUGUAUUUCUUAAAUGUAUUUGAUUGAUGUCUCAUGCCUUCCUAAGUGUAUAAAACCAAGCUGCACCCUGACCACCAUGGGCAAAUGUUCUCAGGACCUCCUGAGGGCUGUGUCACGGGCCAUCGUCACUCAUAUUUGGCUCAGAAUAAAUCUCUUC